UGGGGAAUAUUGCACAAUGGGCGCAAGCCUGAUGCAGCAACGCCGCGUGAGGGAUGACGGCCUUCGGGUUGUAAACCUCUUUUAGCAGGGAAGAAGCGAAAGUGACGGUACCUGCAGAAAAAGCGCCGGCUAACUACGUGCCAGCAGCCGCGGUAAUACGUAGGGCGCAAGCGUUAUCCGGAAUUAUUGGGCGUAAAGAGCUCGUAGGCGGUUUGUCGCGUCUGCUGUGAAAUCCCGAGGCUCAACCUCGGGUCUGCAGUGGGUACGGGCAGACUAGAGUGCGGUAGGGGAGAUUGGAAUUCCUGGUGUAGCGGUGGAAUGCGCAGAUAUCAGGAGGAACACCGAUGGCGAAGGCAGAUCUCUGGGCCGUAACUGACGCUGAGGAGCGAAAGGGUGGGGAGCAAAACAGGCUUAGAUACCCUGGUAGUCCACCCCGUAAACGUUGGGAACUAGUUGUGGGGUCCAUUCCACGGAUUCCGUGACGCAGCUAACGCAUUAAGUUCCCCGCCU
rnacentral:rRNA from 1 species